GUGAUCACUUCAGAAGCACACGUACUAAUUGCAGAACAAUAUGGAGAAGAUUAACACGGCUCCUGAGCAAGAAUGACAUGCAAACUUGUGAAGUGUUGCAAAUUAAA
ensembl:snRNA U6 U6 spliceosomal RNA